rnacentral:lncRNA from 1 species
CGAUCUAAACCGUGACUGCCGGAGUUGGGAGCUCCGGUAUGCCACCCUGGCUGUUGAGCACGAUGACCUUCCCCUCUGAGUCAACAUCCACAAUGGCAGAGUCACCCUCCUUGACCUCCCCAGCGAGCAUCUUCUCCGCAAGGCUGUCCUCCAGCAGCCUCAUGAUAGCCCGCCUCAACGGCCGUGCACCGUAGCUGGGGUUGUAGCCUUCAUCCACCACCCGCUCCUUGAACUUCUCAGUAACCUGCAGGUUGAUGUCCUUGGCCUUGAGUCGGUCGAAGACCUCCUGGAGCAUAAUAUCUGCGAUCUCCUUGACCUCGAGCUUGGUGAGCUGCCUGAAGACGAUCAUCUCAUCGAGACGGUUGAGGAACUCGGGGCGGAAGUACUGCUUCAUCUCCUCAAUGACGAGGCUCUUGAUCCUGCCAUAGCUGCUGUCCUUCUCGUCGGAGUCGAGGUCAAAACCAAUCUUACGCCCACCCUUCUCAAUGACACUGCUCCCGACGUUCGAGGUCAUGAUUAGGAGGGUGUUCUUGAAGUCCACUGUUCUUCCCUUGCUGUCGGUCAACCUCCCGUCUUCCAAAAUCUGGAGCAUCAUGUUGAAGACAUCAGGGUGUGCCUUCUCAAUCUCAUCAAAGAGCACAACUGUGUAUGGGCGCCGUCUAACUGCCUCAGUCAGUUGGCCACCCUCAGUGUAUCCAACAUAUCCUGGAGGUGAACCGAUCAGCUUGGAAACUGUGUGCCUCUCCAUGAAUUCACUCAUAUCAAGCCGGAUCAUAGCCUCCUGAGAGCCAAAGUAAUAGGCAGCAAGGGCCUUAGCGAGCUCUGACUUCCCAACACCGGUGGGACCUGCGAAGAUAAAGCUUGCAAUCGGCCUGUUGGGGUUCUUGAGGCCCACACGAGCACGGCGAAUGGAACGACUAAUAGCUACCACAGCCUCAUCUUGGCCAAUGACACGUUUGUGCAAAGUCUCUUCCAUCUUAAGAAGCUUAUCAGAUUCAUCACUGGAAACCUUCUCCACUGGAAUGCCAGUCCAUGACGAUACUAUGUGCUGGAUAUCUGCUUCAUUAACCAUAGGUCCUGUCUCUCCAGAUUCCUCCUCUGCUUUGCUCAUCUCUUUGCUCUUGUCAAUGAGGGCUGUUAUCUGGGCUUUCAAUUCCAUUUCACGGUCUCGCAGCUCUCCAGCCUAAUGGCAAUACCCAAAAAAAAACAGAAUUUAGCUGUGAGCAUUGGGGAAAAAGGUACACACAAUUAAGUAAACAAAAGUACAGGCAGAAAGGCAGAGCAUAGGCAUCAACAUAUGUAACGAAAGCAGGGAAAACAGUUAAAUAAACAAAGGCAGAAUGAGAGACAAGUGAAAUUGCACGUUAUCAAAUUUUAAAGUCAAGUGAUAACUAUUUAAAGUCAAAAGUGCAGCAAUUUUUUUUUAACUCGUAUAUUACAUCUUAAAAUGGAAAAUAGAGAAUAUCACUCAAAUAGAACACUGACGAAAGGAACAAGAAUUGCUGAAUCAUCCAAAAGUAUCUGUCAUCUACCAACUAUAUAUCUAAAUAUUUUGUAUAUACAAGUGAAUGUUUUCCAUAAAGCAGUUAUGGUGGAUGGAAGUUAUGGAGUAAUAUCAUCUGCCAGGAGGAGAGGCCUGGUACCAUUUCAGUUUGCAUCACAACAUGAAAUAGAUGUGAAAUUUAGUAAACCUAGUCAGUUACCUUUUCAAAAUCCUGGCUACGAACAGCUUCAUUCUUCUGUUUUGUGACUUGUUUGAGCUCUUUGUCAAGCUCUCUUGCUUCCUCAGGAACCUGCACUAAAAGUUCGAUUUAAAAUUGUUUUGGGCAUGCAAAAAUUAAGCAUAAAAAAUAAACGAAAGCAGAUGCCUCGGGAUACUUUUACCUGUGCAUGCUGUAGCCUAACACGGGAACCUGCUUCAUCAAUCAAGUCAAUUGCCUUGUCCGGGAGGAAACGAUCACUGCAAACAAAAUAUGCUGUCAGGUGAUGAUAAAGAUGCAGCAUAGUAGCAGAGUUAAAUCAUCCAUGAACAUAGUCAGAAAUGAAGUGCACUAGUUUCUCUGAGAUGUUAGCUAAGGUUCCAGGGUAUUUUGCUUGUACUUGUUUACAUGAUCAGCUGAAGUGACACACCUGAUGUAUUGAUAUGAAAGCUUUGCAGCUGCAAUCAGAGCUUCAUCAGUGUAACGAAGUUUAUGAUGGAUCUCGUAUCGUUCCCUAAGUCCUCUGAGAAUUUCUAUGGUUUCAUCUACUGUUGGCUCUGGCACUUUCACGGGUUGGAAACGCCUUUCCAGGGCUGGGUCUUUCUCAAUGUGCUUCCUAUAUUCAUCAAGUGUAGUCGCUCCAAUGCACUGAAAUUAGACAUAACAAGUUGGUUGUAACAACCUCAAGACAAGGAAGAGCGAUGAAAAAACUCAUGUUGAAGGAAAAGAAGAUACUUCACUUGCGCAAAAGAAAAGAAAACAGAAAAUUAACCACAACAUAGGAACAUGUAAUCUUAUCUACGCACCUGUAGUUCACCUCUUGCUAAUGCUGGCUUCAAAAUGUUAGCAGCAUCGAUAGCACCUUCUGCUGCUCCUGCUCCUAUCAGAGUGUGAACUUCAUCAAUAAAGAGUAUUAUCUCGUCACUUUGCUUGAUUUCUUCCAUCAGCUUCUUUAAUCUUUCUUCGAAUUCUCCACGGUAUUUUGUGCCAGCAACAAGAAGUCCCAUGUCAAGGGUAAUGACCUGCGGUAAAUUGGUUGAAGAAAUAUCCAUCAUUUCCUCACAAUCUCAUCAAAAGAAUGCAGAAACAAAGCAGAAAAAUAAAAGGUAUGAUCUUCAUAAUGUCUUCCAUAGAUUAAUCAGUUACAAAUUACAAUUCUAAUAUAACGUGUCGCAAAUAAGUAUGAAUACAGCAUACUUUGCUCUUUUAUUUGCUCAAUUAUUGUUGGGGUCAGUGCAGAUGAUUAGAAAAUUCUACAACAUUUUGAAUGCUUAAAUAUAGGGCUAAUAUGACUCGAAAUAUCAAGCAGGCUCUUCAAUGAUUAACAUUGUACCUACAUACUAGAAUGCCAACUGUACGGGGCUACUCAACUAAAAUGAGAAAGAAAAGAGCAAUAUGUGCAUGCACCCUCAUGUAGAGUAGCAUAAAUAUGCCAUACACAACAAAACAGAAGUGCAUAAAAGCAAAAGCUUAUUCCUAAGCUCAUAUGUUCACAUAAGUUGCAGAAUCAUUAAGCAAAAUAGUAAAAAUAGAAACAUAUUGUGUAUUUGCUCCGAAAUGAUGCAAAAGAGGCUACCUUUUUCCCUUCUAUUGUUUCAGGCACAUCGCCUGUAGAAAUGCGUUGAGCCAGUCCUUCAGCAAUUGCAGUCUUUCCAACACCAGGCUCUCCAAUCAAGCAGGGAUUGUUCUUCGUUCGUCUACCUAAAAUUUGUACCACACGCUCAAUCUGUGGCUGCCUACCAACAACAGGAUCUAGCUUUCCCUGCAGAUAUGAUAAAUAUUACUGAAUACUUCUUUUCCAGCACUUGUGCUUAUUAUAAUACAGGAGGACAGAAAAAUUACCUCUUCUGCUAAUUUUGUUAAAUUAGUUCCAUACUCCUCGAGCGUAGGCAUCUUAUUACCACUACUCCCUCCUCCAACUCCAGCACCAACAGCUUCUGUGGUCUCACCAAUCAUUCGGAUAACCU